rnacentral:rRNA from 1 species
AUUGAACGCUGGCGGCAUGCCUUACACAUGCAAGUCGAACGGUAACAGGUUAAGCUGACGAGUGGCGAACGGGUGAGUAAUAUAUCGGAACGUGCCCAGUCGUGGGGGAUAACUGCUCGAAAGAGCAGCUAAUACCGCAUACGACCUGAUGGUGAAAGCGGGGGAUCGCAAGACCUCGCGCGAUUGGAGCGGCCGAUAUCAGAUUAGGUAGUUGGUGGGGUAAAGGCCUACCAAGCCUACGAUCUGUAGCUGGUCUGAGAGGACGACCAGCCACACUGGGACUGAGACACGGCCCAGACUCCUACGGGAGGCAGCAGUGGGGAAUUUUGGACAAUGGACGCAAGUCUGAUCCAGCCAUGCCGCGUGCGGGAAGAAGGCCUUCGGGUUGUAAACCGCUUUUGUCAGGGAAGAAAAGGUUCUGGUUAAUACCUGGGACUCAUGACGGUACCUGAAGAAUAAGCACCGGCUAACUACGUGCCAGCAGCCGCGGUAA